rnacentral:lncRNA from 1 species
GUCUGGUUUGUGCUGGAGUCUUUAACAACAAGCAGGGUUGGGUAUCCAGAAAACAAUAUCCAUAUGCCCAUAUACUGUACAUGAAAUCUGAAAUGGAAGCUAAUUCUUGCUUGUGCGGUUAUAAUACUGGUUGUAGCAAUGUCUGGUCUGCCAAGUUGGGAGUACAUUACUGUGGAGGGGGUUUCUUUUUGUUUUUUUAAUUAGUCCAAGUCUUUAGAAAUUUAUCCUGGAGCCCUUAAUCUGAUGGGAUUGACAGAGGUACAUACAGUAUUGCCUCUGUCUUUGGCAGAUGCGCCUAAUGUAUUUGCACUAAUGCAGAUCACUCAGCUUGGGUGGGUGUUAAAUGGUGCAUCCUUGGAGGAGGAUGUACACCAGACCAUGAAUUGUUCCCGAAGUGACCUUGAUCUUCAUGUUUACAAAACCAGAGAGGAGGCCGGCUUUAUAAACUGUUGUAUUGCAGCAUCUCUGCACUCUCGCUGAAUUUCUUCAUGCAGCAUUUCCUUCUGUUUCUUGAACAUCUCCACAAAUGUGGUAGAGGAUGUUGGAACUGCUUGCAGCCACAAAUCGGUUUUGUGGGUCAGGAGGAGUGGGCAGACUUCAGGAUUGUUUAGGGCUACUUUACUUCUUUUUUAAAAACUAGAACCCGAAGAUUGGCCAACCUGAGCCAUAACUAAGAAAUAUGCAGUCAGAAUGAAAUAGGAUAAUGCAUUGGAGUUCAUUCUGAACCUAGAAAUUAGUUUUCAGUACUGGACUUAAGGUCCUUCCACAUGUAAAUCCACUCUUGAUUAACUUUUGCAGCAGCCUAGUUUAGGUGAGCAGCCUAGAUUAUUUCUUUUGUUAACACAGCUGACUCAGUAACACUUUGCUGUUUGCUGAAAAUUCACCAGGUAUCGACCAGCAGACCCUGAUCUACAUUCUGCCCCCUCCCUAUCUCAGGUGCACUGAGAUGUUAAAAUGGCUGGUUUAUUCUUUCCUUUUUAGGAAAAUGGGGUCUAGUUGGAUGGAGAUGGGGCCAGAUGGUGCCUUUUUUAAAUCAGUCAGUGCAGCAGCUGACUGAUUAAAAAUGAGGCUGCCCUCAUUCACCCUAUUUACGUGUAGGUGAAACAAUAGGGUUAAGUUGAGCACAGUGUGUUCUGUGCUGUACUUGUUCUGUAGAUAAAUAGAGGACUUCAGUCCACAGCAUUACUUUCAUAAGUAAUAAAUAUCCCCUUAGAAAAAUACUUCUGUGUCUUUACCUCUCAAUUACUGGGUUGUCUGAGGAGACAAAGUUUAAAAAGAUUACAAGUCUUUCCCAAAAUCACCAGGAGUCCUUUCAAUAGAGGUGCAAUUAAUGGAGGAAAAUAUAUUUAAAUUUUGUAACUGAAUGCCACAAUGAUUAAUAUGGCAAGCUUUUUCAAAACAACAACCACCUACCUAUAUUUGUGGCACAGUUGCUGGGAAAGUUUCAUCUACAUGAGGAAAAGAGGAAGUGCGCGAUUCUUUUAAAAGUGAAGCACAAUUCUGCCCCCCCCCCAGAUUUCCCCAAGAGCCUGUGAGAGGAUUCUCCUCCUUCUGCCACCAUACCACCUAGCAAAUCAGCUGAUGCCUUCAAGGAGCUCCCCAUGCUGUGGGAAUAUUACCCAGGGUUCAUGUUUACUUUUAGAAGUGAGGCACAGUGGAGACUAUGAUGUCUUUAGGACAUAUAAUUUAUUUAUGCAUAUAUACAACCUGAGCCUAUGACGGAGGAGUUCACAGCAUUAGCAAACCAAGAGAUCUCUCUCUGCCUGCCGCGUUGCUUCUAGGUCACAUCACUCCUCAACUCUGGUUUUUGUCCUCACUAUCUGGGAGUUGAGGGAGGAGCCCCACCCAUUUGCCAUCUCCUACAGAGACACUUAAUUCCCCUUAAUGGCACAUUAUCACCUCAGAGGAAGUUAGCUUGGCUUGAUUGGAUUUUAACGUUUUCUGGAUCCAGGGAUUGGAGGGGCCUGGCACCCACAAACUCCUAACAACCAAGACAUCUCGCCCCGGAUGUACAAACAGCAAAAUAAAGUUUCCUUGCAGAAUAUUACCUAACAGACAAGUUAGAAAAGGCAUUAGAACACACACAAUCAUAAACAGAUAAUGAAACACAAUUACACUUUUAACCCCCUUAAUGGUAUACUACCCAGGGUAUCACCUCACUGGAAGCCACCUUGGCUUGAUUAGAUUUUAACACUUGCUGGAUCCAGGGAUUAGAGGGGUCUGGCGCCCGUAUUAACACCCCAAACCUCGAUUAAAUUCUAACAUUUGCUAAAUCCACAGAUUGGAGAAAUCAGGCACCCACAAAUUCAGAACACUAUAUAUCAGCCUACCAGUCGGUGACAUUUAUUUGUUCAAUAAAAACAGAUCUCUUGUCAUUUAGUUCCAAAAUUAAUUUGCUAAGGUGACAUUUUUCCAUCUUUGCCACAUUAAGCAGUUGAUCCCUUACCUUUCCUGCCCCGACCUGGCCACAGUGAUCCAUGCGACGGUCACCUCCAAGCUUGACUACUGUAAUUCGCUCUACGCAGGGCUGCCCUUGAAACUGUUCCACAAACUCCAGUGGGUGCAGAAUGCUGCAGCGAGGCUCCUCACGGGGUCCCUGCCAUGGGAGCAUAUUCACCCAGUGCUUUACCAGUUGCACUGGCUCCCAGUGGAGUAAAGGGUUAGAUUCAAGGUGCUGGUUUUGACCUUUAAAGCCCUUUGUGGCUUAGGGCCCUCAUAUUUACGGGACCACCUCUCCUUGUAUGCCCCACAGAGGACCGUAAGGUCCAUGAAUAACCAUAGUUUAGAGGUCCCAGCCCCUAAGGAAGUCAGACUAUCCUCCACCAGGGCCCAGGGCCUUUUCAUUGAUGGCUCCGACCUGGUGGAAUGCUUUGUCCCAUGAGACUAGGGCCCUUCAGGAUUUAACCUCCUUCCAUUGGGCCUGUAAGACAGAGCUAUUCCACCUGGCCUUUAAUUUGAAUUCAGCCUGAUCUUUUAUUUCCCUUCUCUUCCCUCCCCCUCCCCUUUUAUGAAGAUUACCCGCUCUGAGACCCCACAGCUAAUUCUCCCCUGGCCUCCUCACUGGCCCAAGUAGGACUAAUUCAGCCAGCUAGCCCAGGUGACUAAUGCUUAUUAGAUGGAUUUUCCCCAAAUUGAUUUCUGAACUUUGAAUUUUAUUGUUAUUCACAUUUUUGUACUGUAUUUUAUGCUGCUUUUACAAUUAUGUGUUUUAAAUUUGUUGUUAGCCGCCCUGGGCCCAGUUUUCUGAACCGGGAAGGGCGGGGUAUAAAUAAAAAAAUAUUAUUAUUAUUAUUAUAGGCUUC